UAAAGUUGAAAUAGCCAGGGCUGAAUUAAGUGCUGGAGUUGAAGAACUGGAGCCUCUCCAGAGACUGAGCACAGCCCUGCCCGAGUGCUUCUCAGGGUCUGGGAAAAGGCCAUGUACUGAUGACACACUGUGAAGAUUUAGUGAUUUGGGAAGGUGAUGUGUGGCAUGUUUGCAUUGGUGGGCAGUGAGGGAGCUCUUAGAUGUAGUGACCACAGGUGUGGAGGAAGUGGAGGGGGGGGGGAGGGGAAAAAAGAAAAAAAAAAGCAUUUUAUUAGUUUCAGCUGUGGGCAAAGUGUUGCUGUGCUUUUUCCUUCUUCUAAACGAUCAUCAGGUUCAUGUGUUUCCUAGCACUGUUCUUUUUGUAAUGUUUUCUUGCACUCUGGUGAACAUCAAAUGUUUUAGAUUGGGAGACAAGAGAGGCUAUUUUGGCUAAAAAGGACCUCUUACCACUUUGGACCUAUCCCUGCAAGUUACUGGCGUCACUUCUUAAGGUAAUUCCUUCGGGGUGAAUAUUUUUCACUUUGCAACUACACAAAUCAUCCAAGCUUGGCAUCAUCUAAGCUCUCCAUCAUCACUGAAAUAGGAUUAAAGGCAAUAUCAACCACUCACAGAUGUGACCCUCAUCCACACAGGAUUAUUUGAAUUCAUAUGGAGAGACUAUGUCAGUCAACAGUGGUGCUGCCGUAUUCCCACAUCAUGGCUUUUGGAAGAGGCUUUUUGCGGGGACCCCAACUGGAUGCAGGCUGCUGGGUGGACCUGGAUGAGAGCCUGUGGCUGCUCAGGUGCUUGCAGACAGCUGAAGGCUGCAGGAUAUGGGUCACUGAUAACCCAACUGAUCAACUGAUGGUUUGUCUUCAGAAAAAGCAAUCCUUUUUGCGUGUCACGAUUGUGCAUUAUGUUCCAUAC
rnacentral:lncRNA from 1 species